rnacentral:misc_RNA from 1 species
GAAAUGCGAUAAGUAAUGUGAAUUGCAGAAUUCAGUGAAUCAUUGAAUCUUUGAACGCACAUUGCGCUCGCCAGUAUUCUGGCGAGCAUGCCUGUUCGAGCGUCAUUUCAACCAUCAAGCUCUGCUUGCGUUGGGGAUCCGCGGCUGCCCGCGGUCCCUCAAAAACAGUGGCGGGCUCGCUAGUCACACCGAGCGUAGUAACUCUACAUCGCUAUGGUCGUGCGGCGGGUUCUUGCCGUAAAACCCCCAAUUUCUAAGGUUGACCUCGGAUCAGGUAGGAAUACCCGCUGAACUUAAGC